GCGGCGGACGGGUGAGUAACACGUGGGUAACCUGCCCAUAAGACUGGGAUAACUCCGGGAAACCGGGGCUAAUACCGGAUAACAUUUUGAACUGCAUGGUUCGAAAUUGAAAGGCGGCUUCGGCUGUCACUUAUGGAUGGACCCGCGUCGCAUUAGCUAGUUGGUGAGGUAACGGCUCACCAAGGCAACGAUGCGUAGCCGACCUGAGAGGGUGAUCGGCCACACUGGGACUGAGACACGGCCCAGACUCCUACGGGAGGCAGCAGUAGGGAAUCUUCCGCAAUGGACGAAAGUCUGACGGAGCAACGCCGCGUGAGUGAUGAAGGCUUUCGGGUCGUAAAACUCUGUUGUUAGGGAAGAACAAGUGCUAGUUGAAUAAGCUGGCACCUUGACGGUACCUAACCAGAAAGCCACGGCUAACUACGUGCCAGCAGCCGCGGUAAUACGUAGGUGGCAAGCGUUAUCCGGAAUUAUUGGGCGUAAAGCGCGCGCAGGUGGUUUCUUAAGUCUGAUGUGAAAGCCCACGGCUCAACCGUGGAGGGUCAUUGGAAA
rnacentral:rRNA from 1 species